rnacentral:rRNA from 1 species
CCGCCCGUCACACUCACGAAAGUGGACUGCACCUAGAAGCCGGUGAGCCAACCGCAAGGAGGCAGCCGUCCAAGGUAUGGUCCAUGAUUGGGUGAAGUCGUAACGAAGGUACC